UCCUCUUCGGUGUAAAAUCACUAGUACUUUGCUGUACAUAGAGUUUUGUGUGAGAGAUUGUUGGCAACUUUGUCAUGGGAGUUUUUCUGGAUUUUGGUUCCAUUUAAUAUUGAUCAUAUGCCAUAUUUAGGUCAUGGGACAGUGAAGGUUAGUUUGUAAUGGGAAUUUGAUUGAUCAUAUGUCAUAUCCAGGUCAUGGGAUAGUGAAGGUGUUUGUAAGGGGAAUUUGAUCGAUCAUAUGCCAUAUCCAGGUCAUGGGACAGUGAAGGUUUACCUAACAGAAAAUUCUAGGAUCUCCUGCACUAUAUUGUUUCUCCUACUCACUCCACUGUUGCAAACAAUCCUCUUCCAGUCUGCACUGCUGAUCCUCUUCCUGUUCUUCCUCCAGUCGCCCGCAUUGACCUCUACCACCACAACAAUCCAUUUUAGGGGGAAUGAGUGAAGGCUUACUCAACAAUUCAAGUGCUUUAACUUUUAUCCUCUGAUUAAGAUAACUUGUCUCCAUUGACUUGUUCCCAAAGGUGUAGCCUAGUGGUUGGCUCGGGACACCGAACAAGUUGUAUGCAGGAGGUGCAUGGUUCAAUCCCAACUACUAACAUUUCCCCACUCCCCCCUAAACUAGUCAAAUUUUCCGCUUCAAGAGUAAAAUCGUUGUUAUGAUUAAGAGGCAAUUCAGGCUUGAAGCAGAUGAGAAUAGGCAGAGAGGACAAAGAAACAAUGCCAUCUCUGUGUAUAGCCUUACUACAUGGGAUUUGGUUCAGUUCUCACAAGAAUUGUUUUGUAUGUUUCAUGCUUCCUUGGUCUA